rnacentral:RNase_P_RNA from 1 species
UGGGUCGGCUGGACGGUCGCGUCGCGGGUUUGCUCGCGCCGAGGAACGUCCGGGCUCCACAGGGCAGGGCGGUGGGUAACACCCACCCGGAGUGAUCCGCGAGAAAGUGCCACAGAGAACAGACCGCCGGGGGCGACCCCGGUAAGGGUGAAACGGCGGUGUAAGAGACCACCGGGGUCGUGGUGACACGGCCCGCACGGUAAACCUCGCCCGGAGCAAGGCCAGACAGAGGAUGCUGACGCGGCUCGCCGAGUCCUCGGGUAGGCCGCUGGAGCGGCACGGCAACGUGUCGCCGAGAGAGAUGACCGUCCACGGGGCUCACGCCCCCGGACAGAACCCGGCGUACAGGCCGGCCCAUUCG